rnacentral:rRNA from 1 species
GGGGACAGUUGGGGGCGUGCUUACACAUGCAGUCGAACGAUGAUGCCCAGCUUGCUGGGCGGAUUAGUGGCGAACGGGUGAGUAAUACGUGAGUAACCUGCCCUUGACUCUGGGAUAAGCCUGGGAAACUGGGUCUAAUACUGGAUACUACCUCUUACCGCAUGGUGGGUGGUGGAAAGGGUUUUACUGGUUUUGGAUGGGCUCACGGCCUAUCAGCUUGUUGGUGGGGUAAUGGCUCACCAAGGCGACGACGGGUAGCCGGCCUGAGAGGGUGACCGGCCACACUGGGACUGAGACACGGCCCAGACUCCUACGGGAGGCAGCAGUGGGGAAUAUUGCACAAUGGGCGGAAGCCUGAUGCAGCGACGCCGCGUGAGGGAUGACGGCCUUCGGGUUGUAAACCUCUUUCAGUAGGGAAGAAGCGAGAGUGACGGUACCUGCAGAAGAAGCGCCGGCUAACUACGUGCCAGCAGCCGCGGUAAUACGUAGGGCGCAAGCGUUGUCCGGAAUUAUUGGGCGUAAAGAGCUCGUAGGCGGUUUGUCGCGUCUGCUGUGAAAGCCCGGGGCUCAACCCCGGGUCUGCAGUGGGUACGGGCAGACUAGAGUGCAGUAGGGGAGACUGGAAUUCCUGGUGUAGCGGUGAAAUGCGCAGAUAUCAGGAGGAACACCGAUGGCGAAGGCAGGUCUCUGGGCUGUUACUGACGCUGAGGAGCGAAAGCAUGGGGAGCGAACAGGAUUAGAUACCCUGGUAGUCCAUGCCGUAAACGUUGGGCACUAGGUGUGGGGGACAUUCCACGUUUUCCGCGCCGUAGCUAACGCAUUAAGUGCCCCGCCUGGGGAGUACGGCCGCAAGGCUAAAACUCAAAGGAAUUGACGGGGGCCCGCACAAGCGGCGGAGCAUGCGGAUUAAUUCGAUGCAACGCGAAGAACCUUACCAAGGCUUGACAUUCACCGGACCGCCCCAGAGAUGGGGUUUCCCUUCGGGGCUGGUGGACAGGUGGUGCAUGGUUGUCGUCAGCUCGUGUCGUGAGAUGUUGGGUUAAGUCCCGCAACGAGCGCAACCCUCGUUCUAUGUUGCCAGCACGUGAUGGUGGGGACUCAUAGGAGACUGCCGGGGUCAACUCGGAGGAAGGUGGGGAUGACGUCAAAUCAUCAUGCCCCUUAUGUCUUGGGCUUCACGCAUGCUACAAUGGCCGGUACAAAGGGUUGCGAUACUGUGAGGUGGAGCUAAUCCCAAAAAGCCGGUCUCAGUUCGGAUUGAGGUCUGCAACUCGACCUCAUGAAGUCGGAGUCGCUAGUAAUCGCAGAUCAGCAACGCUGCGGUGAAUACGUUCCCGGGCCUUGUACACACCGCCCGUCAAGUCACGAAAGUUGGUAACACCCGAAGCCGGUGGCCUAACCCCUUGUGGGAGGGAGCCGUCGAAGGGUGAACGGGGC